CUCUUGCUUCAGUGAAUAAGAGGUCACGCCUGCCCUGUGACUAUAUGUUUAACGGCCGCGGUAUUUUGACCGUGCAAAGGUAGCGCAAUCACUUGUCCUUUAAAUGUGGACCUGUAUGAAUGGCAUAACGAGGGCUUAGCUGUCUCCUUUCUCAAGUCAAUGAACUUGAUCUCCCCGUGCAGAAGCGGGGAUAAAACCAUAAGACGAGAAGACCCUAUGGAGCUUUAGACAAAAAACAGCCCCUGUCAAUAAACCCUAAAUAAAGGGAAUAAACCUAGUGAACCUGUUUUAAUGUCUUUGGUUGGGGCGACCGCGGGGUAACAAAAAACCCCCAUGUGGAAUGAAAACACCCUUUUUAAACCCAAGAGUCACCACUCUAGGAUACAGAACAUCUGACCAAUAAUGAUCCGGCUAAAGCCGAUUAACGAACCGAGUUACCCUAGGGAUAACAGCGCAAUCCUCUUUUAGAGUCCAUAUCGACAAGAGGGUUUACGACCUCGAUGUUGGAUCAGGACAUCCUAAUGGUGCAGCCGCUAUUAAAGGUUCGUUUGUUCAACGAUUAAAGUC
rnacentral:rRNA from 1 species